rnacentral:rRNA from 1 species
UUAAGUGACGAUAGCCUAGGAGAUACACCUGUUCCCAUGCCGAACACAGCAGUUAAGCCCUAGUACGCCUGAAGUAGUUGGGGGUUGCCCCCUGUUAGAUAUGGUAGUCGCUUAGC